rnacentral:tRNA from 1 species
AGCAGCGUGGCUUAGUGGAAAGAGCCCGGGCUUGGGGAGUCAGAGGUCAGGGGUUCUAAUCCCGGCUCUGCCA